rnacentral:rRNA from 1 species
AUUGAACGCUGGCGGAAUGCUUUACACAUGCAAGUCGAACGGUAGAGGGGGCAACCCCUUGAGAGUGGCGAACGGGUGAGUAAUAUAUCGGAACGUGCCCAGUCGUGGGGGAUAACGUAGCGAAAGUUACGCUAAUACCGCAUACGAUCUACGGAUGAAAGCGGGGGGACUCGCAAGAGCCUCGCGCGAUUGGAGCGGCCGAUAUCAGAUUAGGUAGUUGGUGGGGUAAAGGCUCACCAAGCCAACGAUCUGUAGCUGGUCUGAGAGGACGACCAGCCACACUGGAACUGAGACACGGUCCAGACUCCUACGGGAGGCAGCAGUGGGGAAUUUUGGACAAUGGACGCAAGUCUGAUCCAGCCAUUCCGCGUGCAGGAUGAAGGCCCUCGGGUUGUAAACUGCUUUUGUACGGAACGAAAAGGUUUCCAUUAAUACUGGGAGCUCAUGACGGUACCGUAAGAAUAAGCACCGGCUAACUACGUG